GACGAACGCUGGCGGCGCGCCUAACACAUGCCAGUCGAACGAGCGAGAGAGAGCUUGCUUUCUCGAGCGAGUGGCGAACGGGUGAGUAACGCGUGAGGAACCUGCCUCAAAGAGGGGGACAACAGUUGGAAACGACUGCUAAUACCGCAUAAGCCCACGGCUCGGCAUCGAGCAGGGGGAAAAGGAGCAAUCCGCUUUGAGAUGGCCUCGCGUCCGAUUAGCUAGUUGGUGGGGUAACGGCCCACCAAGGCGACGAUCGGUAGCCGGACUGAGAGGUUGAACGGCCACAUUGGGACUGAGACACGGCCCAGACUCCUACGGGAGGCAGCAGUGGGGAAUAUUGCACAAUGGGGGAAACCCUGAUGCAGCGACGCCGCGUGGAGGAAGAAGGUCUUCGGAUUGUAAACUCCUGUUGUUGGGGAAGAUAAUGACGGUACCCAACAAGGAAGUUACGGCUAACUACGUG
rnacentral:rRNA from 1 species